rnacentral:lncRNA from 1 species
AUAUUUAUCUUUUAGUUAGUUUGUUAUUAUUUCUUAUUUGUACUUUAAGCUUAGCCCAUAUUUCUUCUAUUAUAAAUAGAGAACCCUAUGUGUGUAUUGAACACAAGGGAGUUUUCAUUAUAUUCAACUUGGUAUCAGAGCAGGUUUUCUGAUCCUUUUCUACUUUGUCUUUGUUGUCGUUGGUGGCCGCCGCCAUCGGCGGCUCCCUAAAAGUUUAUUUUUCAACCUGUGCAUUUAUACUUCAAUGGGCAAUCUCUGGUUUCUGUCUCGCAUCUGCUCGUUGCCGCUCACCACCUGCCGGUCGUCCAUCGCCGCCGGCAUCGUCUCCGACCACCGUCUCCGGCAACCGUCUCCGCCACUUGUGUCACCGAUGCACGAACACCUAGUCCUACCUCUACUGCUUCCGCUAUAGUUUUUGUCGCUUUUAGCCACUACAGGCCCCAUCAGUUAGUGAUGGCAGUCCCUGUAGUUUUGAUGCAAGCCCCAUCCUUACUUGAUGGCAAUCCAGUCCCUAGAGUUUGUCAUUGUUCUCCUUUGUCAAAGUCGUCCUACUUGAAGUUUCAUGGUGCUAUUUGAAGUUUCGCAGUUGUCCACCACUGUCCAUAAAUUCCUCGUUGACAUGUGAUUGCACAUUUGCUUGCCGCUCACUCUUGAAGACAAAUUAGAUAUUUCAAAUUGAGUUUAUGUAUUCCAAGCUUCGUCCAUACAAUCUGUAUGCUCCAGCUUGAGGAGGAGUGUUAGAGAUA